rnacentral:rRNA from 1 species
CCUACGGGAGACAGCAGUGAGGAAUAUUGGUCAAUGGACGGAAGUCUGAACCAGCCAUGCCGCGUGAAGGUCAGUGCCCUAUGGGCGUUAAACUUCUUUUGUGCGGGAGCAAUAAUGGUCACGUGUGGCCAGACGAGAGUACCGUACGAAUAAGCAUCGGCUAACUCCGUGCCAGCAGCCGCGGUAAUACGGGGGAUGCAAGCGUUAUCCGGAUUUAUUGGGUUUAAAGGGUGCGUAGGCUGUGAGGUAAGUCAGCGGUGAAAUGCCCCCGCUCAACGGGGUGAAGUGCCAUUGAUACUGCCUGGCUGGAAUGCGGAUGCCGUGGGAGGAAUGUGUGGUGUAGCGGUGAAAUGCUUAGAUAUCACGAAGAACUCCGAUUGCGAAGGCAGCUUACUAAACUGCCACUGACAUUGAUGCUCGAAAGUGUGGGUAUCAAACAGGAUUAGAUACCCUAGUAGUC